CCUGCCGGGAGACUACGGCUUGAGAAUGGC
rnacentral:sRNA from 1 species